rnacentral:rRNA from 1 species
UUUAAAUGUAAAUUUUUGAACUAAAUUAGUAAUAGAUAUGAUCUUCAAAUUUAAAGAUUUUGGCGGUAUUUUAGUCUAUUCAGAGGAACCUGUUCUGUAAUUGAUAGUCCACGAUUAACUUUACUUAAUUUUAAAAAUUUGUAUAUCGUUGUUUAUAGAAAAUUUUAUAAGAAAAAUAAUUUUUAAUAAAUUUAAUUAAAUUAUAAAUCAAAUCAAGGUGCAGUUUAUAGUUAAGGUAGAAAUGGGUUACAAUAAAUUUAUUUAUUAAUGGAUAUAAAUUUUAAAAUUUUAUUAAAGGUGGAUUUGAUAGUAAUAUUAUUUAAUUUAAUAAUAUGAUUAUAGCUCUAAAAUAUGU